GGAAUAUUGGACAAUGGGCGAAAGCCUGAUCCAGCAAUGCCGCGUGAGUGAUGAAGGCCUUAGGGUUGUAAAGCUCUUUUACCCGGGAUGAUAAUGACAGUACCGGGAGAAUAAGCCCCGGCUACACCCGUGCCAGCAACCGCGGGAAGACGGAGGGGGCUAGCGUUGUUCGGAAUUACUGGGCGUAAAGCACGCGUAGGCGGCUUUGUAAGUUAGAGGUGAAAGCCCGGAGCUCAACUCCGGAAUUGCCUUUAAGACUGCAUCGCUAGAAUCAUGGAGAGGUGAGUGGAAUUCCGAGUGUAGAGGUGAAAUUCGUAGAUAUUCGGAAGAACACCAGUGGCGAAGGCGACUCACUGGACAUGUAUUGACGCUGAGGUGCGAAAGCGUGGGGAGCAAA
rnacentral:rRNA from 1 species